CCGUACCAAUUUCUAUAUUGCAUCUUUGCACUUCAACGUAACUUUUCCUCAUCUAAAACUGACUAUUAAUAACUUGAACAAAUAGAAACAGAUAGAACCAGGGACCAACCCUCAACAUCGACCUCGCCGGAAAACCUCGAUCGGGAACCUCAGGUCGACGCUCCAAGCAACGAGCUUUAAGUCGACAGAUCUCGACAUGCUCUCAAGCGUAGAUAAUUUCACAUUAUGAUAGGUCUCUGGAGUAGUUUUGAGUCGAAAAAAAUCCUGAGGUUUAAAGGGCGGAAGAAAGAUGAAGCAGUAGUGUCCAUGCGAGGCUUUGGUGGUGGUUUCAACUCGUUUUCCGGCGAGCUUGUCGCUGUUUCUGAUGGGUUCCGACGAGCUAUG
rnacentral:lncRNA from 1 species